rnacentral:rRNA from 1 species
UAAUACGUAGGUGGCAAGCGUUAUCCGGAAUUAUUGGGCGUAAAGAGUGAGCAGGCGGCUAUUUAAGUCUGAAGUCAAAUGCAGUGGCUCAACCACUGUCCGCUUUGGAAACUGGAUGGCUAGAGUACGAGAGAAGUAUGCGGAAUUCCAUGUGUAGCGGUGAAAUGCGUAGAUAUAUGGAGGAACACCAGAGGCGAAGGCGGCAUACUAGAUCGAUACUGACGCUCAGUCACGAAAGCGUGGGUAGCAAAUAGGAUUAGAUACCCUGGUAGUCCACGCCGUAAACGAUGAGAACUAGGUGUAGGGGCGAACCCUGUGCCGAAGCUAACGCAUU